GGGUGAUUAGCUCAGCCGGUUAGAGCGCUGCGUUCACAUCGCAGAGGUCCGGGGUUCGAGUCCCUGAUCACCCACCC
rnacentral:tRNA from 1 species